rnacentral:rRNA from 1 species
ACGGGAGGCAGCAGUGGGGAAUAUUGGAUAAUGGGGGAAACCCUGAUCCAGCGACGCCGCGUGAGUGAAGAAGUAUUUCGGUAUGUAAAGCUCUAUCAGCAAGGAAGAAAAUGACGGUACUUGACUAAGAAGCUCCGGCUAAAUACGUGCCAGCAGCCGCGGUAAUACGUAUGGAGCAAGCGUUAUCCGGAUUUACUGGGUGUAAAGGGAGCGUAGACGGUAAAGCAAGUCUGAAGUGAAAUCCCGGGGCUCAACCCCGGAACUGCUUUGGAAACUGUUUAACUAGAGUGCAGGAGGGGCAAUCGGAAUUCCUUGUGUAGCGGUGAAAUGCGUAGAUAUCAGGAGGAACACCAGUGGCGAAGGCGGAUUGCUGGACAGUAACUGACGGUGAGGCGCGAAAGUGUGGGGAGCAAACAGGAUUAGAUACCCUGGUA